rnacentral:lncRNA from 1 species
GGCCCUCAAAACGUUGCUGUCUCCAUCUGUACAACAGUUUCAGGCUUGUGUUUGGAAACACAUUGAGCUGAGCAGGAAGAAUGAGCUGUACCAGUUGGAAGCUUUCAGAGCUGGAACAAUUUCUCAACCAGCAAAGAGCAGAAGGAGACAGGCUUAGCUGUUUGCUGAUUCCCUGGAGGCUGAGCAAGGAUCCUGCUGGGCUCCCAGGCUCCCUCUGGGUAUGAG